rnacentral:sRNA from 1 species
UUGGCAGCUUGUACCACCAUGAUCGUGUUCUGCUGAGGACAUAACGCUGUAAAGACC